rnacentral:rRNA from 1 species
UACGUAGGGUGCGAGCGUUGUCCGGAAUUAUUGGGCGUAAAAGAGCUUGUAGGCGGGUCUGUCGCGUCUGCUGUGGAAAAAUCCGGGGCUCAACCCCCGGACUUGCAGUGGGUACGGGCAGACUAGAGUGUGGUAGGGGAGACUGGAAUUCCUGGUGUAGCGGUGAAAUGCGCAGAUAUCAGGAGGAACACCGAUGGCGA